rnacentral:rRNA from 1 species
AUUGAACGCUGGCGGCAGGCUUAACACAUGCAAGUCGAACGGUAACAGGAAGAAGCUUGCUUCUUUGCUGACGAGUGGCGGACGGGUGAGUAAUGCUUGGGAAUCUGGCUUAUGGAGGGGGAUAACUACUGGAAACGGUAGCUAAUACCGCGUAAUGUCUUAGGACUAAAGGGUGGGACUUUCGGGCCACCUGCCAUAAGAUGAGCCCAAGUGGGAUUAGCUAGUUGGUGAGGUAAAGGCUCACCAAGGCGACGAUCUCUAGCUGGUCUGAGAGGAUGACCAGCCACACUGGAACUGAGACACGGUCCAGACUCCUACGGGAGGCAGCAGUGGGGAAUAUUGCACAAUGGGGGGAACCCUGAUGCAGCCAUGCCGCGUGAAUGAAGAAGGCCUUCGGGUUGUAAAGUUCUUUCGGUAGCGAGGAAGGUGCUUUGUUUAAUAGACAAAGCAAUUGACGUUAACUACAGAAGAAGCACCGGCUAACUCCGUGCCAGCAGCCGCGGUAAUACGGGGGGUGCAAGCGUUAAUCGGAAUAACUGGGCGUAAAGGGCACGCAGGCGGACUUUUAAGUGAGAUGUGAAAGCCCCGGGCUUAACCUGGGAAUUGCAUUUCAGACUGGGAGUCUAGAGUACUUUAGGGAGGGGUAGAAUUCCACGUGUAGCGGUGAAAUGCGUAGAGAUGUGGAGGAAUACCGAAGGCGAAGGCAGCCCCUUGGGAAUGUACUGACGCUCAUGUGCGAAAGCGUGGGGAGCAAACAGGAUUAGAUACCCUGGUAGUCCA